rnacentral:rRNA from 1 species
GGGCUCCUUCGGGAGCACCGGCGGACUGCUCAGUAACACGUGGACAACCUACCCUCGGGUGGGGGAUAACCUCGGGAAACUGAGGCUAAUACCCCAUAGGCCUCGGAUACUGGAAGGUUCCGAGACCGAAAGCUCCGGCGCCCGAGGAUGGGUCUGCGGCCUAUCAGGUAGUUGGUGGUGUAAAGGACCACCAAGCCUACGACGGGUACGGGCCCUGAGAGGGGGAGCCCGGAGAUGGACUCUGAGACACGAGUCCAGGCCCUACGGGGCGCAGCAGGCGCGAAACCUUCGCAAUGCGCGAAAGCGCGACGAGGGGAGCCCGAGUGCCCUUCCUUUCGGGAGGGCUUUUCUGGAGCCUAAAAAGCUCCAGGAAUAAGGGCUGGGCAAGACGGGUGCCAGCCGCCGCGGUAAUACCCGCAGCUCGAGUGGUGACCACUAUUA